UCGCCUGUUUAUCAAAAACAUGUCUUUGUGAAAGUUAAUAUAAAGUCUAGCCUGCCCAGUGAUGUUCGAAUUUAACGGCCGCGGUAGUAUGACCGUGCUAAGGUAGCAUAAUAAUUUGUCUCUUAAUUGGGGACUGGAAUGAACGGUUGAACAAGAAAUUAACUGUCUCUAUUGUAAACUUUGAAUUUUACGUUUAAGUGAAAAGGCUUAAAUAGGAUAGGGGGACGAUAAGACCCUAUAAAUCUUUAUAUUUUGGUUAAUAAAUUUUAGAAAUUAGUUAUAUAUUUAGUAUUAUUGGGCUAAAAUAUUUUGUUGGGGCGACAGGAGUAUAAAUAAGUAACUGCUUUGUUUGUAAAUUAAUUAUUUUUAUAUUGGGAAUGUAAUAUUGAUCCUUUUUAGAGAAAUCAGACUAAGUUACUUUAGGGAUAACAGCGUAAUCUUUUUUGAGAGUCCAUAUCGAAAAAAUGGUUUGCGACCUCGAUGUUGAAUUAAAGAUCCUUGAUGGCGUAGGGGCUAUUAGAGGAGGUCUGUUCGACCUUUAAAUCUUUACAUGAUCUGAGUUCAAACC
rnacentral:rRNA from 1 species